UGCUCUGUGCACAGACGGAGGAAGAGGCAACACAGCAGGCUGACAAAGUGAAUUCAAAAAGAAAUAUUGCUGAAGUUCAAAAGAAGACACUUACUGACACUGGCAAUGUUUACCAGAUAUUGGUCAUGGUGUUUUCUGCUUACAAUGGCUGUCUUCUGUACUGGAGAUCAGUCAUGUGACUGUCAAUGUGAAUCUGAUUGGAGCGCCUGCACCGCUUCUUGUGGUGGUGGACUGCAGACUAGAAGCUGUAGUGACUCAAGCAUCGUCACGCGGGUGUGCAACCCUCAAG